GGAAAACAUCACUCACUGUGUAUACAACAGCAGAACUUGAUUCAUGAUGAACAUGAUGAGAGGUAGUGUGUUAUUUCUACUAAUCAAUUGCUCACUGCUGAAUGUGCGUGUAUGAGUAUAUUUGUGGGUGCAUAAGCCCAUUUGAGUGUGUGUGUGUGUGUGUGUGUGUGUGUACUUGUUUUGACUAUUAUUCAAAGCAGCUUCAAAGAAAAUGAACGUUUCUGUAUUACAAUGGAAUGGAAGUGAUAAACUGAAAAAUUCCACUGAAAAACCCUUUCAGUGUGGAGUUAAUUUGAUGGUACAUUUUCAAAAGCUAUAUUAACUAGGAUGUGUAAUGAUAUUAAUUCAAAUUUAGGUCACUGUUUAAACACUCUGCUUAUUGAACAUUUCUCUAAAAUUACUUUUAAAUAAUUGUGUUCAUAAUUGUGUUCAUAUUUUCAGUGGUGUGGCAUUUGAACAGGACCUGACUGAAUGACUGACUGUCUUCCAAUAGACCCUUAUACCGCUGGGAGGAGCCAUGCCUUACACCCUUUACCGUAAGUUAGACACUCCUCUAAACACCUUGUCACAUUCCUCACUGGGGCCAUAUGUGAACAGUACAGACACACAAACACAAACACACACACAUACACACUUAUGCUUAGGAAAAAGAACUGUAGUGAUGAUGAGAGAGCUUUCUAGACCAAUGCUCCUUCUAUGCGGUCUCUAUAGCAUUCCGUCCGGUUAUUGUAAUGAAAUCUACAUUGCUUAUGAACUAAGCUGUGUUAUGGAGAGAGUGUGUAUAGCACAGCCCAUCUCUGGCGACUCUCCAGGUACCGUUCUGUUUUAGUGGCCUUUAGAGUUCAAAGACUGACCAUACCUCCUUCUGAAGCGGUCACAGACCGGCCUGCCUCUCUGAAGCCAUGCAGAACUCUGAAACUCUGCUCAAACUUCUCUGCUGUGUAGGUAUCAUACAGCAAAUGACUUUAGUAAUGGGUCAGUUGACUGGAGAUGACCUCAACUUUCCUGAUCACAAAUCCCGUUGUGCCCAGGAGUCACAGACACUAGCAAAUGGAUCUUUGGAAAGACCAUCCAAAUCAGAGAUGCCAACAUUGAGGUGCCAUGUUGAUUCUGCAUAUGAAACAAAAUCUGAAUGGCCUGAAGCUUCUAAUUUUGACCAAGAGAAAGCAGGCGGAGGUGGGAUAUACAAGAAAGAGACCUUCAUUUCCUCUCUCACAGUCCAGCCCACCAAAACAACUCAACCAUUUAUUUUUCCAGAGAUCACAAGCAUGCUUCGCCCUGAACACAAGCCUGAACCACGGACCAUGAGCUUGAGAAAUAUCAAUUCUACAGCAGGUAGUUAUGUCUCACAGUCUGAAGAGUCUUCCAAGAUGAAAUCAGAGGUCAAAAGUCAGACCAAAAAGGAGCCCUUGCAGACACUACAGUCAUCUGUCUCAGCUCUGAAGAACAGUACAGAGCUUGCCAUUUCGAUGAACACAAAGCCAGUGGAAAUAUCAAAUGUCUAUUCGACUGAUAUUUUAGAUACAGUCUAUGACGCGUCACGGACAAAAUCGGUUAAGGAUUCAAUCACAGCGCCAAGUGGUUCACCUCGAAACCUGACCAGCGUUACCAUGGAAACCAGCACCGGCAGCGCCUCAGUCGAUAAAGUAAAGUCACAGGAGAAGAAUAAAGAAAUCAGAGCGACUAGUCGACCCACGACACCGAUGCAAAAGGAACCUGUAGCAGUUACUCAGCAAAUGCCUUUUCAUCAACCUGGAAGUCCCAGAGCUGAAAGAGAGGAAGCUAGUACUGCACUGAGAGAGAGCAAGCAAGAACAAAUUAAAGAUACAGAUGCGACUCCACAAAUUAGACAGGAUGAUCUCAGUUAUAGAAGUGAACAAAAAGCCCCUGUGAUUGAAGAAUCAGAGACUGAUGAUUGUUAUUCAGGUGAUAUUGCUGCCUGUCCAGUUCGUCCUACCACUGUGCCAUAUACAACAACAGAGACCCACUGUAAGUCAAAAAUCUGAAUAAAAAAUUUCAUUUUUUGAAGCUGAAGUGUGUACUUUAAUUUAAUUUAAUUUAAUUUAAUUUAAUUUAAUUUAAUUUAAUUUAAUUUAAUUUAAUUUGUUUAUUAUAAAAUAUAUUGAAAUAAUAUCUUAUAUUUGUUUAUAUAAUUAUUAUUUAUAUAAACUAUAUUAUUAUUAUUAAUAAUUUCUUACAGGUGAAGGUAAAACAGUUAAGGCUUCUCUCUCAAGCCCUAAGAAAUGCAGAUGUACAAUAUGAAAAUAAUUUCUAAUUUGGCAUUUUUGUUUACUCAGCUAAUCAGAUGCAUGGAAACAUAAACAGAGAAGAAGGUUUACACACAACGGGUUUCAGAGGCCCAAGGGUAAUGAACUCACUUAUCUCUCUAAUAAUUCAUUAUAUUUUAUUGUCUUUGCAUUGAUGUUUAUUACUGAAAUGAAAGGUUUACUAUCUAUUGAUAGUGCUAUAUGGUGUACAUACUUUAAAUUGCUAAUGGUGUUUAUGAC
ensembl:lncRNA